UACAAUUACAGUCAAAAACAUGUCCAAAAACUGAGCUGAGAGGAAAUAAUGGAUCGUUUGAUUCAUAAUGUGAGAGAACAGCUCAGUGUGACUCUAAUGGCAGCAUUGAGCUUGGUGGACAUCUUUCCACUAGAUGAAACUUCUCAAACCCAGACUUUCUCUAUUAUAAUUAAAGGGAUAGUUCACCCAAAAUGAAAAUUCAGGAGAAAUUUGAAAAGAGGAUGUUUCUACUACAUCAUCUAUGGGAGUGACAGUAAAUUUGACAUUGUUCUCCCUUCUGACUGCCAUUAUCGGUCUUUCUCUAUUUUUUAUUUAUUUAUUUAUUUUUUUUUAAAGUAAUUUUCGUGGAGUUUUUCUUUUGCUGUUUGAGCAAAUGGGAAUGCAAAAAAUAUAUAUUUGUGGUAGUCUCCAUGUAAUGCCAGGCCAGCAGGGGGAGCCCUCGCCCGAGUAUUGACUGUCACAAUCCCUCUGUUGCCUCGUUGGUGACUUCCUGUUUGGCAGCCAUAAAGCAUGGCUUGCCCAAACAAUCUCUGUGAAGUAUUGCCAGUCUCAGUGCCUUACCAAGUGUUCUCGUACCAUUGCCUGUUGAUAUUGUGUAUGAUUUCUUGCCUGUUUGACUCUACUUCUGUUUAUUGAGUUUUGAAUGUUUUUUGACUACUGCUUGUUUUCUGAUGCUGAUCCUGGUUUGCCCUUUAAUAAACUUCUGCAUAUGGAUUCUCACUUGGCUUCAGCCUUCUCGUUACAGAAUACUUUGCCACCUAUGAAUCCAGCGGAAGUUUCGGAGGUGCAAAGUGCUUUCGCCUAUCAAAGCGAGGUACUCAACGGCUACCAAAAACAACUUGAAAGCCUACAGUCCACUAACGAAUACUUGACACAUUACAUUUGUUCACUUCCUCCACCCAUGCCACAAAUGGAAAUCAUUCGGCAGCUGACUACGCAGUGGAGUUCAGAACGCUGGCAGCACAGAGUGGAUGGAAUGAUGUCUCGCUAAAAGCAGUUUUCCAGUGAAGCCUAACACAGCAACUUCAAGCAGAACUGGCCUGCAAGGGCUCUCUGAGGAGGAGAGAGUUCAAAGACGACAGCACAACUUGUGUUUCUAUUGUGGAGAGGCCGGACAUCAUAGGUUGACAUGCCCACACAAGACUCGGACGUUCUCAAAUUCCACACCCUGGCGCUGAUCGACUCUGGAGCUGCCUUAAACCUCAUUCAUAAAGACAUUGUCAUCAAAUAUAACAUUCCCACUCAAUCUUGUAAACCACCUAUCAAGAUUGGAGCAGUUGAUAAUUCACCCAUUGGAGAUGGCAUCACAGAACAAACUCACCCUAUUCAACUCCAAGUCGGAAUGUUCCAUCAAGAGGCUAUCUCAUUUUAUGUAAUCGACUCUCCAAGAAAUGAAAUCAUCCUAGGCUUUCCUUGGCUAUAAGUUCACGACCCAGUUAUUUCCUGGCAUCAUGGUGAGUUAACCCGCUGGUCAAAUUUCUGCUUAAUCCAUUGUAUGCACUCUGAUAUUUCAACCCAGUGCCUGUCUACCAGUGUUGAAAGCCCUGUCAUCGAACAAACCACAUUCACUUCAUGAGUCUGGAAAGCUUUCCGCAGGCAACUUGACAUAAACGUAAGCCUCACCUCAGGUUACCACCCUCAGUCUAAUGGACAAGUUGAACAACUCAACCAGAAGAUUGGAAGAUAUCUGCGGAGUUACUGUAGCCGGGAACAACAUCUUUGGGCAGAAUUCCUUCCAUGGGCCGAAUAUGCUCAAAAUUCCCUGACACAUUCUUCUACAGGACUAAACCCCUUCCAAUGUGUUCUGGGAUAUCAGUCUCUGUUUCCAUAGUCAGGAGAACCUUCAUCUGUCCCAGCGGUGGACAACUGGAUUAAGCAUAGUGAGAGGGUAUGGGACAGUGCUCACAUCCAUCUACAAAGGGCUGUCAGGACUCAAGGUUUCCAAGCCAACCAACAACCUCGUCCACACCUUUCCUACCAACCAGGACAACGGGUCUGGCUCUCCACAAGGGACCUCAAGCUACGGCUACCUAGUAGGAAGCUAAGCCCCAGGUGUGUUGGCCCUUUCAAGAUCAUUAGACAAAUCAAUGAAGUCAUUUACCAGCUUGAGCUUCCAGCCACUUAUCAUAUCUCUCCCUUUCAUGUGUCUCUCCUCAAACCCUUCCACCCAGACACUGACCCCAAUGUUUUGGCUGCCGAUUGGACUGAAUGACUGUGUUUAAACUACUGCCUGUUUUCUGUCGCUGUUCUGGUUUGCCCUUUAAUAAACUUCUGCAUAUGGAUUCUCACUCGGCUUCAGCCUCCUCGUUACACUCCAAUUCAGUGCUAUAGAGUGUUUGCACCUAUGUCACGGUUUGUUCAGUUACCCGGAUGUGAGACCAUAUUAGAGAUACCUGGAUGUAAAAAAACAGCAUGGAUUGCAUGGUGAAUGUACUACUGAAGACAGUGUUCUACGAAUUUGAUGUCUAACCCGCAGAAAAAAAAGUCUCAGUACCUGUAGGAGUUGUAGAUGGGGAAGGGAAUGUACAGCAUUCUCUUUUUAUCUGGGCACUGGAGAAGAUGGCUAUGUGUGCACUUGGAUGGGUUAAAUGCAGAGCACAAAUUCCGUGUAUGGGUUGCCAUACUUGGCAAAUGUCAUGACUUUCACGUCUUUCCUCAGACAGGUUUUUGCACUCUUCUCCUUGUUUUCCCAGUCCAACCAAUCAGUACAGCUGAAAACAUGACAAUUUACCAUUUUCAGCAGCAGUAAUCAGCACAAUUCUUCUUUGGUUCAGUGGCAUUGUUUACGUUCAGUACCGCUAAAAUGGUCGACUUCCGGAUUGAUGACGUGUCUUGAAAAAUAAGUUUACCUAACUAUGAUGACUUCUGCUGCUGAGAAACCCAGAAAUGUAAAAAAAAGUUCCACUGCCAGUAAGUUGACUUUUUGCUCUGCCAAAAAAAAAAAAAAAGAUGCUGCUCAUCUCUGAUCAACUCACAAUAGUGGCAUUUCUUUCCUGAAUGAAUCGGCAUUUGAAACGAAUUGGUCAAAUGAAAGAGUCAAUACUUUCUCAAAGACAUUCACCUGCUGCCACCUACUGCCACCUCUAUUAUAUAUAUAAUCAACUCAUUUGGAAAACAAAAUGAUAUUAUGUUGCUUAUUGCACAUUACUACACUUUAAAAGUGAAAUGUCCAAAUGAUUAGUUAGUGGUUUUAUACGAAACAGAUUAACGUGAAUCUGUAUGUUGUAGGCCUUUAACGUAUGACGGUCGAUCGGAAAUGCCUGGUACAUGUAACUAGCAAGAAAAGGUUAACACUAUUGUUUGAAAAAAAUAUAUACCACACAAUGUAAAUGAAACAAUAAAAUUCAUCUGAUGAAACAAGCAUA